GUCGGGAGUUAGGAAAUGUAGACUCGCUAACAUCGGGUCUAUUUGACAAAGGCUCCAAAGGAAGCCACGGCUAACUCUGUGCCAGCAGCCGCGGUAAUACAGAGGUGGCAAGCGUUGUUCGGAAUUAUUGGGCGUAAAGAGCACGUAGGUGGAUUUGUAAGUCAGACGUGAAAGCCUUCUGUUCAACGGAAGAAUUGCAUCUGAAACUACAAACCUUGAGUGUAGGAGGGGAGAGUGGAACUUCUGGU
rnacentral:rRNA from 1 species